rnacentral:rRNA from 1 species
UACAUGGGGUGCAAACGUUGCUCGGAAUCAUUGGGCGUAAAGCGCGCGUAGGCGGUUAUCUAAGUCGGAUGUGAAAGCCCUCGGCUUAACUGAGGAAGUGCAUCCGAAACUGAAUAGCUAGAGUACGAAAGAGGGUCGCGGAAUUCCCGGUGUAGAGGUGAAAUUCGUAGAUAUCGGGAGGAACACCGGUGGCGAAGGCGGCGUUCUGGACUGCUACUGACACUGAGGAACGAAAGCCAGGGGAGCAAACGGG